rnacentral:rRNA from 1 species
GAUGAACGCUAGCUACAGGCUUAACACAUGCAAGUCGAGGGGAAACGGCAUCGAAAGCUUGCUUUUGAUGGGCGUCGACCGGCGCACGGGUGAGUAACGCGUAUCCAACCUGCCCAUCACUUGUGAAUAACCUUGCGAAAGUAAGACUAAUGCCCAAUGACAUCCCACGAAGGCAUCCGAAUGGGAUUAAAGAUUUAUCGGUGAUGGAUGGGGAUGCGUCUGAUUAGCUUGUUGGCGGGGUGACGGCCCACCAAGGCAACGAUCAGUAGGGGUUCUGAGAGGAAGGUCCCCCACAGUGGAACUGAGACACGGUCCAAACUCCUACGGGAGGCAGCAGUGAGGAAUAUUGGUCAAUGGGCGAGAGCCUGAACCAGCCAAGUAGCGUGCAGGAUGACGGCCCUAUGGGUUGUAAACUGCUUUUAUAAGGGAAUAAAGUGGGUCACGUGUGACUGUUUGCAUGCACCUUAUGAAUAAGGACCGGCUAAUUCCGUG